rnacentral:rRNA from 1 species
GCAAUGCCGCGUGAGUGAUGAAGGCCUUCGGGUCGUAAAGCUCUUUUACCAGGGAUGAUAAUGACAGUACCUGGAGAAUAAGCUCCGGCUAACUCCGUGCCAGCAGCCGCGGUAAUACGGAGGGAGCUAGCGUUGUUCGGAAUUACUGGGCGUAAAGAGUACGUAGGCGGUUAUUCAAGUCAGAGGUGAAAGCCCGGGGCUCAACCCCGGAACUGCCUUUGAAACUAGAUAACUAGAGUCUUGGAGAGGUUAGUGGAAUUCCGAGUGUAGAGGUGAAAUUCGUAGAUAUUCGGAAGAACACCAGUGGCGAAGGCGACUAACUGGACAAGUACUGACGCUGAGGUACGAAAGCGUGGGGAGCAAACAGGAUUAGAUACCCUGGUAGUCCACGCCGUAAACGAUGAUAACUAGUUGUUCGGUCACUUGGUGACUGAGUGACGCAGCUAACGCAUUAAGUUAUCCGCCUGGGGAGUA